AGGGGAGUGGUAUAAUUGGAGUAUAUUGCACCUGGAAGCUACAAGGCUGUUGGUUCGAAUCCGGCCUCCCUCA